rnacentral:tRNA from 2 species
CAGGUGUAGUUCAAUGGUAGAACCCUAGCCUUCCAAGCUAGCUACGUGGGUUCGAUUCCCACUACCUG